CCAGGGCUUCAAGGCAUGGGCUUAACCCCGCAUUGAAAAGCCUAGAGAGCAUUGCGUAUAAGUCCCAUGUCCAAAACAGGUGGGGAUUGCUGCAGGUGCCAGGGAGAGGCGGAGGCUUCCAACCUUCAAGCUGUGUCUUUCUCCCAUAGAAGAGCUGUCCCAAAUUUGUGCCUACAUAUCCCAGAAGCACACUCACCUUUGUAAUUUUUCUUUCUUAGGAAAAAAAAGAUGUCAUGAAACUUGAGUUACCUCUACUGCAGCUGCCCCAUUUUUUAUGGGUAUCAUUUUUACAGCAGGCUGAAUCUCUACAAGACAUAUGCUGGAAAAGCUCUGUAAGUAUGUAUUUGCUUCUAAAAAUGCCAUUCUGAAUUUCACACAGUGAUGACAUCUUUCUGACACAGCAUGUGACAUUGCUGCACAAUUUGGUUCUUCUGGAGAGGCUAAAAAUAAGCAUUCAGCCACUAAACUGGAUUCAUAUUUCGGUCAAGAGUUUUAGUUGUCUCUCCAUUUGCUACUGUUUCAAUGGUCUAGUGCAGGACUAGAAUUUUCCUAGUGAAGAUGACAGAUGCCAUUUCCCUCUCAAACCUGCAGGAGUAAGACAAGCCGCUGCUAGAGAGUUAUUUGUAACAUGACUGCUGUUUAUCAGUACAAGCAAUGAACCACCUCAUUUUCCUUACUAGUAUUAGGAUAUGAAAGGUAAACCAGGUUCAGUCCCAUCUGCAGUAGCUAAGGAGACAAAUCCAAACUCAGGGUUCUGCUCUGCUUCUUCAGUCCCUGUUACAAAACCAGUUCUCAGUAAUUCAGGGUAUUGCAGCAUCCCACUUUUGUGGCAUCACCGAAGGCUAACUCCUGACAGAAAAGAAACCUUGGGCCAAGAGAUCGUAUGCAAAUGCUCUUGUGUAGCUAUGCAACAUUACUAAGCCAGACCCAGCAGAAAUUGUGCAACCUUGCAGCCAUCGCUGCAGAAGCACUGGCGUGUCUCACAUCUCAGUAGAAUAAAUCAGACUGUGUGCAGCUUCCUACUGCCACUGCAGAGUUAUUUCUGGCAGCCAAGCCAGCUGGUUUCAAGCAGCAGACAGGAGCGCAGAUGUGUGUAGACUUUCACGAUAGCAACAAGAAAGCGCCAACAGACUUUAUUUGCUUUGUCAACAGUAAGACUGGGAUGAAUUGGAGGUGAGAUUGUAAGCAGGAUAAGCCAGUAAAGUCUUUCAUGAAAGUCUUGCGUGUGUGCUUCCCUGCCGUAUUGAUUGCCCAGCCUGUGUGUGGGUCUCUACGUUUCUGUGCUGUUUCUGCUUAAAAUGCUGCCAGCCAGGCUAAUGUUCUCAGUGGUGUUUGAGUGAUGGAACAGAGAGAAAAGUGAGUUGCUGUAUUUCCUAAUGCAAACUUAAAAACAACCAACCAAAUAUAACCUCCUUUGCUGUCUUGACUUGUGCUUUAGAAUACCAUGAAAACACAAGCUAGAAAUAGGUUUUCUUUAUAGUGUGGUUCAGGUAGAAGCGGUAGCAAGCUGAUGCCUAUGCAUUUUUAACAGUGGGCUCUGCUGACAGGCUAGGGGUACUGCUGUUUACAAACUAUACUCAGGUACAUGCCAUGAUUUGAAAGUCAAGAUACGUAACAUUUAGUGUGAAUAAAGCCAGAGCAUUGAGAAUUCUAAACAAGAGGCAAAUAUUUUCUUGGCUGCAUUUCUUGAAUGAAGUGAAAACAGUGGUCUUUAGUUCCCUGAAAACAAAUUAUUUAAUUUAGUACAUUCUUAGUAACAAAAACACCAAAUGAUUUCUUUAAGGUAUUGUUUGCAUAACAUUUAAACUAAAAAUAUGCUAUGCAAACAAUGAGGAUUCUAAAAUGGACAC